AGUACGGCCGCAAGGUUAAAACUCAAAGGAAUUGACGGGGACCCGCACAAGCGGUGGAGCAUGUGGUUUAAUUCGAUGCAACGCGAAGAACCUUACCCGGUCUUGACAUCCUGCGAACUCUCUAGAAAUAGAUUGGUGCUUUCGGGAACCGUGAGACAGGUGCUGCAUGGCUGUCGUCAGCUCGUGUUGUGAAAUGUUGGGUUAAGUCCCGCAACGAGCGCAACCCUUAUCCUUUGUUGCCAGCGGUCCGGCCGGGAACUCAAAGGAGACUGCCUGUGAUAAACUGGAGGAAGGUGGGGAUGACGUCAAGUCAUCAUGGCCCUUACGACCAGGGCUACACACGUGCUACAAUGGCGCAUACAAAGAGAAGCGACCUCGCGAGAGCAAGCGGACCUCAUAAAGUGCGUCGUAGUUCGGAUUGGAGUCUGCAACUCGACUCCAUGAAGUCGGAAUCGCUAGUAAUCGUGGAUCAGAAUGCCACGGUGAAUACGUUCCCGGGCCUUGUACACACCGCCCGUCACACCAUGGGAGUGGGUUGCAAAAGAAGUAGGUAGCUUAACCUUCGGGAGGGCGCUUACCACUUUGUGAUUCAUGACUGGGGUGAAGUCGUAACAAGGUAACC
rnacentral:rRNA from 1 species